AAGGUGGCUGAGUCAUUAGGCGGUAGAUUGUAAAUUUAUAGACAAGUUAAAACUUUCUUAUUG
rnacentral:tRNA from 1 species